rnacentral:rRNA from 1 species
GACGAACGCUGGCGGCGUGCUUAACACAUGCAAGUCGAACGGUAAGGCUCCAGCUUGCUGGGGUACACGAGUGGCGAACGGGUGAGUAACACGUGGGUGACCUGCCCUGCACUUCGGGAUAAGCCUGGGAAACUGGGUCUAAUACCGGAUAGGACCAUGGUGUGGAUACUGUGGUGGAAAGUUUUUUCGGUGUGGGAUGGGCCCGCGGCUUAUCAGCUUGUUGGUGGGGUAAUGGCCUACCAAGGCGGCGACGGGUAGCCGGCCUGAGAGGGUGGACGGCCACAUUGGGACUGAGACACGGCCCAGACUCCUACGGGAGGCAGCAGUGGGGAAUAUUGCACAAUGGGCGGAAGCCUGAUGCAGCGACGCCGCGUGGGGGAUGACGGCCUUCGGGUUGUAAACUCCUUUCACCAUCGACGAAGGGUUUCUGACGGUAGAUGGAGAAGAAGCACCGGCUAACUACGUG